UACGUAGGGUGCAAGCGUUGUCCGGAUUUAUUGGGCGUAAAGAGCUCGUAGGCGGUUCCGUAAGUCGUGAAGUCAAAUCUCUGGGCUCAACCCAGAAUCGCUUCCGAUACUGCGGUGACUGGAGUCCGGUAGGGGAGUGUGGAAUUCCUGGUGUAGCGGUGAAAUGCGCAGAUAUCAGGAGGAACACCAACAGCGAAGGCAGCACUCUGGGCCGGUACUGACGCUGAGGAGCGAAAGCAUGGGGAGCGAACAGG
rnacentral:rRNA from 1 species